rnacentral:rRNA from 1 species
GACAGAGGGUGCAAACGUUGUUCGGAAUUACUGGGCGUAAAGCGUGUGUAGGCGGUUUCGUAAGUCGGAUGUGAAAGCCCCGGGCUCAACUCGGGAAGUGCACUCGAUACUGCGGAACUCGAGUAUCGGAGAGGUUGGUGGAAUUCUCGGUGUAGAGGUGAAAUUCGUAGAUAUCGAGAGGAACACCGGUGGCGAAGGCGGCCAACUGGACGAAUACUGACGCUGAGACACAAAAGCGUGGGGAGCAAACAGG